rnacentral:lncRNA from 1 species
CUGAAGCGGAUUGUAUUGAAUGGGAAUUGAAAUGGGUGAAUUUAUAUAUUUAUUUUUAAAUUUAAAGAUUUAGGGUUACAAACAAACAUUCUUACAUACAAAUCUCUUAUAAAUGAUUAAAUGGGAUUAGGAGAAAUAGAGGGAAUGCGAGAUAUAAAAUGAAGUGAAGGGAGGGCAGAAAAUCCAAAGUAGGGGACCUGCAAAACCCAAGAACGCUUUGGCUCUUAUGUAUGGAAUUAACUGUUUGUUACAAAUAGUCUUUGUAUUGACCGAUAAAAAAAAGAAGUGAAAUUUGUUGCCGCUUUUGCUCCUUCCUUAACCUCCUCCUUUACCCCAUAAUAAACUCCAGGUACUUUGUUUUUGGCUUUGCCUCUGCUUCCUUUUUCCUCGGUUUUCUUCUUUAAAUUCCCUUAAUUUCUCAGCUUCCAUGGAAAUACAAGAGAGAAGAACAUCAGAGGUAGCUCUUUCUUUUUCUCGUAACUCAAGUGCAGGUGAGCAUCUCCUGUUUUCAUCGAUAAUUAAGAUGAUUACUUUUUUAUUUGUUUUCCAUGUGGAUUGGUUGGUGAAUCUGCCUGGCUCCCUGAAUGCCAUCUAAGAAGCUUUGUCAAGCACGGUUGGCUGCCUUCUUACAUGGCAUGAGGGGAGUCAUGCAGGUUUAACUGUUUCAUAUCUUCAUAAGGAUAUGGAUGAAUUCAUAGAUUUUUUAUGGGGUUUGAUCUUCAUCGGCUCAACAUAAUUGUUAAUAUUAAUGUUAGUUAGCUGUAUUUAGAUAAUUAAAGUGAAAGUGCGGGUGUGUAUUAUUUAGUAGCUGAGUUGAUAGACAAACUACUGAAGAUUAGACAAGAAAAAGAGAUGAUGAUAUUAUAUAAAAUCUAGCAAUAAAGUGAGGAGAUUUAAUAAAUUCUAAUGUUUGGCUGCUUCUUCAACUUAUUCAAAAAGUGAGUGGUUAGUGCUAAUAUUUUACUGCACAUGUGGCUGUCAUGGAAAGGAAUUCACACUGUGCAGGGCAUUAUAACACUCAUGUAGGCCCUUCUUUUUACCAUUAAUUUUAGGACCCAAGGUGUAUAAGCUGCUAUCCAAAUAUUUUUAUUCAAGUCAUUGAAUUGUUAAGUUUUUUUUAGUUUGGUUGGUGAUAUUUAAAGUUGAGUAGCUAAAUAUUUUUUUUAAAGAUCUUAAUUCGCAAAUUCGUGACGUCUAAAGUUGUUUCAUGAAAAAAAAUUAAACGGUAGAAGAGAAAGAGAAAUAUAUCCUUCCGAUUGGUGUUAAAGGUGAGUACAGAAAAAACCAUACAACGACGAUUUUAACAGUUUAGUAGCUUAAAUGAAAUCUUUCAACUAAUUUAAUAAUCAAUUUAUAACUAUUUAAAGUUGAAUAACCAAAUCAUAAACGUAUUAAUAAUUCAAUCACCUUAAAUCGAGUCUGCCCUUAAUUUUAAGUUCUGAAUUUUACGAAUAAAAAAGACCUGUAAUGUUAUUAUAUUUAUAUUAAUAAUCAGUUUUAUAUUAUAUAUGCCCUAGAAUCAAUCUUUGCACGUUUUCGCCGGUAUCAUUUAGGUUACAUUUUAUUAUUUUAUUUUCAUAAAAAAAAAAAGGAUACCUAAAUAAGCUGUCAAUGUUUACGUAAACCCUUUUAACUUUUAUUUUACACAUAAAUAAAUACCUUUACCUAAAUAAACCCUUAACCUAAAUCAUUAAAAUAGGGAUUUGCUUAAAAACAAAUCAAAAUAUAAGAACUUAAUUGAGGAAAAAAGUAAAAGAAGUUAAAAGUUCAAAAACCCAUUUUAGUGUUUUAACCAAUUAUUACACUUGGAAUACCAUUCAAACAAAAGUUAAAUUUAAUUAGUUGUUUGAUUUUAUAGCUUCCAACUACCCAUGUCUACAGUCAAACAAAAGCAAUCUCUAGAUAAAUUGAAUUUCGGGAAAGUUUUGAAAUUCUAAAUAAUUAAAAGAUCAUUAUGUGUAUUUAAUUUUACGUUUUAGAAAUUAGAGAGCAAAACCAUGUCUAUUAAUAAUAAGGUUUUGCAUGGAUAAGAUGUGGAAGAUAUACGUAAAUAUUAUUUUCUGUUAUAAUGAAUAAUGAAAUUAUUAUUUUAUGUGUUUCCUGCUUUUUCUUUUGCUUGUAUUUUCUAGUUUCUAUUUUAUUAUAAAUAAAUAAAAACUUUGAUAUUGAACAGCCUAUCUAUUGUUGCGGUCCAACCCUAUGAUGAAGCAAUUUUUCUUUUUCUUUGUCGCUAUACCUUAUGGUUUUACGGUUUUAAAGUUUGAGCCUGAAGAUAAAAUUAAAAUUAAAAAAAGGUAAAGAAAUGAAUAUUUGUGAUUUUGUCACUAUUGUAGUGAAAAGUCAAAAGACAAGAUGGAAAGGCAAGUCCAGGAAAGGGUUGCCAAACCUGACUCGGCAUGAGAGUGACUCAACCCUGAAAUCAAAUCCAUCUAUACCCGAAUUAUUAUGGUUUUAAUUGAGACCAGUGAUAAAGAAUUUGUACACGUGUUAAUGAUUGGAUAUAUAUUUUUUGAGGUUUUGAUUAUAUUUGUUUUUUCGACACAAUAUUUAAAAUUACUCAUAGUCCCUCUCCAAUCCAUAAAUAAGAGAAUAAUGCAUUUUAAUGCAUUCAAACUCACAUCCUCUUAUAUUGACAACAAUACUCACGUCAAUCGAUAGUUAUUGAAUAUGUUUAAAUAUUAUAUAAAAGCAA